UACUGCCUGAGUCCCAGCUCUGCAUCACCUAACUGGUGGCUUGGCCCCUCUGGACCCCCUGUUCUCCCUCUGGGAUCCUUUCAGAUGAUCAUGGGCUGGCCGCUGCCCUCUGGAGAACCUUCUUCAACCGGAAAUGUGAAGACCCUCGACAUCUUGAAUUGCUGGUAGAGUAUGUGAGGAAACAGAUACAGUACCUGGACUCCAUGAACGGGGAGGAUCUGCUUCUGACAGGGGAGGUGAGCUGGCGCCCUCUAGUGGAGAAGAAUCCUCAGAGCAUCCUGAAGCCCCAUUCUCCGACUUACAACGACGAGGGACUUUGAUGGGCUGGGCCCUCCGCACGGCUGGCCAGCUGGCUUCGAGGAACCUCCAGGAGAGAAGUGCCUGUUGGUCCAGGACCCUGAAGAAAGUGGCCUGAACUGACCUCUGAACAGCAUCUGUCAAAUACCUGGCCCCAUUUGUGUUGAGUUUCCUCUUAGUGUGCCCAGGAGUCUGAUCUGCUGGGGUACAGGGCUGGGAGAACCCCUAGCUCUCCCGGGGUGUCCUCUCCCUUAGGGGAAGCCCCGAGUGAGAGUCCCCCAGCACACACUCCCCAACCCCCUCCAGCAACUACAUGUGACUGAUAGCUUUUCCCAAAGGCCAAGGAAGGGAUGGUGUAGGUUCAAAAGGGAAACCCCCCAGGGCCUGCUGUGGCCUAGGAGCAGAUUGUAAUGCUGCCGAGUCGGGUCGGUGACCACGCGUUGUCCCUCGGCUUUCAGCCAUGGGGUUGAGUUGGCCAUUAAAAGAAACAGAGACUUCUCUCUG
rnacentral:sRNA from 1 species